GCAAAACAAAAAUCUUGGAAAUAAUUCCUCCCUAACCUCAAUUCCAUCAACCCUUCCCACAUCCACUAAUGUCACAUCCCCUUAGUUCUCCCUCUUAAAUAGUCCCCAAAUCCAUCUACUUCUCCCCAAACAAGAUGUCAUCAUCUUGUUUAAGUACCCAGAAUCCAUUUAGUUACUCAGCCAGAAACCUGGGAACAUCCAUUCAUGAUAUCCUUUUCCAUCCCUCCCUUCCACAUUUACUGUGUCUGCCAAUCCCAACUGGCUCUUUUCAAAAUAUCUCAUUCCUUUAAUAACUGCUUGUUCCCACUGCUAGGAGGCUGGUGCAGGUCACUGUCACCUAUCAUUGUCUGCCCUCUUGCUAAAAAGUCAAUCAAGUACAUGUCACUCAUAUAUUAAAACCUUUCAAUGGCUCCCCAUUGUACUUAGAAUAAAAUCCAUCCUCCCCACAUAGCCCGCCUGGCUAACUCUUCUUGUCCCCUGCCUACUUCUUAGAUUCAGUCCACUCUUCCAGCAGCUCCCUCUGUGCUCCAGCUACACCUGAUUUAUUUCUGUUUCUCAAACAACCAGAAUCUCCCCACAUAGCGUCUUUGCCUGUGCCCUUCACACAUCCUGGAAUGUCCUUCCUUGGCUCUUCACAGGACUUGCUCCUCCUUAUGCCGAACAUCCUGUGAAGAGGACAUUCUUCUAUUCGCUAUCAUAACUAUUUAUUUCCAUUAUCUCAGCAGUCAUUUUUUUCCGCGUGUGUUUGUUUGCUUAUUUACUGUUAAUUUUCUGUAUGUUCCUUGUGAUAAUGUAGACACACAGGUGUUGGGGGGUGGGGGACCCAGGAAAGGCCUUUGUGCCCUCCAGGGAGGAAACAGCUGCCAAAAGAAAGUGAUCCACCUAAUCAAUCUAACUUGAGAUCCAAAAGGUCUUGUGUUGAAGAGGGGGUGGGGUUGAGGUGGCUCGUAAGAAGAGACAGUUUGGUCAGAAAAAAACCAU
rnacentral:lncRNA from 1 species